rnacentral:rRNA from 1 species
CCGCAUAACGUCGCAAGACCAAAGAGGGGGACCUUCGGGCCUCUUGCCAUCAGAUGUGCCCAGAUGGGAUUAGCUAGUAGGUGGGGUAAUGGCUCACCUAGGCGACGAUCCCUAGCUGGUCUGAGAGGAUGACCAGCCACACUGGAACUGAGACACGGUCCAGACUCCUACGGGAGGCAGCAGUGGGGAAUAUUGCACAAUGGGCGCAAGCCUGAUGCAGCCAUGCCGCGUGUAUGAAGAAGGCCUUCGGGUUGUAAAGUACUUUCAGCGGGGAGGAAGGCGACACGGUUAAUAACCGUGUCGAUUGACGUUACCCGCAGAAGAAGCACCGGCUAACUCCGUGCCAGCAGCCGCGGUAAUACGGAGGGUGCAAGCGUUAAUCGGAAUUACUGGGCGUAAAGCGCACGCAGGCGGUCUGUCAAGUCGGAUGUGAAAUCCCCGGGCUCAACCUGGGAACUGCAUUCGAAACUGACAGGCUAGAGUCUUGUAGAGGGGGGUAGAAUUCCAGGUGUAGCGGUGAAAUGCGUAGAGAUCUGGAGGAAUACCGGUGGCGAAGGCGGCCACCUGGACAAAGACUGACGCUCAGGUGCGAAAGCGUGGGGAGCAAACAGGAUUAGAUANCCUGGUAGUCCACGCUGUAAACGAUGUCGACUUGG